GCUUUCUGCCGCAGAGAGGGGAAGCUGCUGAGAAUGUGAGGAAGAAAUGUAUCACGCCAUCUCUCCGGCCGCAGACUUCCUUUGGGCAUCCGAAGGAGACCAGAUCCAGUCGUCAACGCAGUCUGGGCACGGGGUGAGUUGGUGAAGAAGGAUGGAUGAUUUCUACUGGAAGCCCUGGAGGAGAAACACUUAGUGAACAUAUGCGAAUCUAAGAGGACGUCAGCAUACUUCCCUCCCAAAAAAUCCUUACGGAAGGAGCUGUUGAAGCGGGAAGCUUGGACUUUUUUCUGUCACUUUACAGUGGAAUACUCCUGAAAGAUGGUGCGGAACUGUGGAUGGGCAGAGGCGAGGGACGCGGCCGCGCAGCGCGCACUCUGACGGGGCGCACGCAACGAGCGGCCGCUGGAGGAGAACGCGCACGGGAAGAUGCGUCUGGAUCCGUUCGGGAGGGAAACUUAGAUAUGUCAGUCAAACUGAGUAGGAAACGAGGACUGUAUAUCUCUGCUCUAUUGGGGAGAUCAAAUGAAAUGAAGACGCACAUCAAGGUUUUUUCUUCCAAGCAUGGCGGUGAUAAUUGGAUUGUGUGGACACCUGUAUGAGUGCAGUAUAUCCAGAGGAUUAAAGGAUGUGAUGGGUGUUGCAGGUUCUGUCCAAACCUGUGGUUCAUGUGCACCUUGAAUGCUUCAGCUGAAUUCUCUUGAUUUGUCAUCUACUUGAGGGCCAGACCUGCAUCCUGCAUCAACUUUGACCUCAAGAGGAAUGCAAGUGUUAAAGUGAUUUUACAUAUAGAAUAUACUUAGUGUCAAGUAAGUAUAUAAAAGUAUAUACCGUUUAAUUUGACUAUAAUCUAUUUAUCAAGACGAUUACAUUUUUGAUAAUACCAUAUAUUCUAUGUUAUAUACUAUGUAUAUAUUUCAUUUUCUGUGAUUUUUUUUGUCUUUUAUGUAAAGCUGCUUUGAAACAUUGGAACAUUGUAAAAAAAAGUGCUAUAUAAAUACAUUUGACUUGAUUCAUUUUGUCCAGUGUGACUCAUUUUACCAAACGGAUUUGAGGAGCUCAGUUGCAAAAGCCACUAAAUGCCACCUUUGUCAAAGAUAAAAUAAUGAUAUUAACCUUAUGAUCUGGGCACAUAUUAUAUGUUCAUACAUUUACUUUAAAUCUGCUUAAUCCCUGCCAGUCAUAAAUACUGUUUUGUUGGCAGAAUCUGCUAAAUGCCACAUAUAUUUUUUGCAAAAAAAAAGAUGAAUUGGAUGAACGAUGGCGCACGGAACGACCGUGGAUCACAUUUAAACUUGUGUACCUUGUCACUACUAGGACCAGAAUACAACCCGAAUGUCGCAGUCACAAGGAUCACAGCACCCCUUAUUGUCUGAUUCAGUUUCUUCAUUUUUACUUGAUUGCUGACUUUCAUUAUUUGCAAUGUUUCUAGUUGCAUUUUUAGUAAUUUUGCAACUGUGAACUAUGUCUUGUCCAAAGAAGUGGAUUUUCUUUUUAAAAGUGCAGGUUUUUGCACUUAGAGGGUUUUGCAGCGAAAAACAAAGUUAAAUUUGUUCAAUACCAGUGAAAUGACUAAAUUAACAUUUGUAAAAUUAAACAUUUCUAUUAUUGACUAAUAACCUUUUCAUUGCCAUUAAAGUGAAAUUACUGAACAUCUGCAUCUGAACUCCAUCUGAAGCGCAUCUAAAGUACUAUUCACAUGGGAUUUGUAUUAUCUGGGGACCUCAUGUGAUUUAGAGUUUUUGUUGUAAACGGCCGCGUUGCAAAGCGCUGCGUUGAGCGUCAGUGGAUUCUAUUUAGAAACGGUUCUACGAUGUUGCGGCUGACAGCUCUACCUAAACUUAGAGAUCUCAAGUAAUGACAGUUCUGCACAUUUUUAAUAUUAACCAUCAAACAUGGACGAGGACAGACUGAUUGACGUGUAAAUUUAGAAAUAUAUAAUAAAUCCCUCAUUUUUCACAAGUAAAAGCCAUAAAAAGCGGAGGGAUAUGUAUGUACGCUUCUUAGCUGCAGUGCGAGAGGCGCAGAAACAUAGAAAAACGAAAUAAAAAAGGCACACAGGUAACACAAGCCUUUAUAAAUGAUAUAUGACCCCACCAAUUCCUGGCCAAAUUACAGAGAUGCCAAUUCGCGCGGGACUAAUAUUAUCAGAGGACCUCGGUGUUCGGCGAAAUAUGGUAGGUAAUUGCGGGGGAAAUUUUUACUUUACAAAUUACAGCCAUGGCAGAUUCGCACGGGAUUAAGAUCACAGACAACCUCUGCAAUUAUUACAAAUCACUAGAGGUCACCAGGUAAUACUUAUCCUGUGCGAAUAGGGUUUAAGUUUUGCAUCUGAACUCCUCAUUUCAUUUGUUUUAUGUAGUGUAGGUUUUUAAAGCAAGAUAACUGAUGGUCUUCAAAAACUAUCUUUAUAAUAUUUUUGAAUCCACAAAGUCUUGUUAUACAUCAAUAAAACAUACAAAUUAAAAUGUUUAAAGACUGCUUUUUGUCAUUUUGUUUUCAGAAAAUGAAUGCACUUUUUCUUUAUUUAAUAAAGAAAAGGAGAUGUU